GUAAUAUUUGCAGCACAUAUGCUAAAAUUGAAACAAUAUGGAGAAGAUUGGCAUUGGUCCUAUGCAAGGAUUACACAAAAUUUGUAAAGUGUUCCAUAAUUUAU